GAGAGUUUGAUUCUGGCUCAGGACGAACGCUGGCGGCGUGCCUAAUACAUGCAAGUCGAACGCUUUUUCUUUCACCGGAGCUUGCUCCAUCGGAAGAAAAAGAGUGGCGGACGGGUGAGUAACACGUGGGUAACUUGCCCAUCAGAGGGGGAUAACACUUGGAAACAGGUGCUAAUACCGCAUAACUCCAGUGACCGCAUGGUCAAGGGAUAAAAGACGCUUUCGGGUGUCACUGAUGGAUGGGCCCGCGCUGCAUUAGCUAGUUGGUGGGGUAAAGGCUCACCAAGGCCAUGAUGCAUAGCCGACCUGAGAGGGUGAUCGGCCACACUGGGACUGAGACACGGCCCAGACUCCUACGGGAGGCAGCAGUAGGGAAUCUUCGGCAAUGGACGAAAGUCUGACCGAGCAACGCCGCGUGAGUGAAGAAGGUUUUCGGAUCGUAAAACUCUGUUGUUAGAGAAGAAUCAGCGGGAAAGUAACUGUUCCCGCCCUGACGGUAUCUAACCAGAAAGCCACGGCUAAC
rnacentral:rRNA from 1 species